GCGUUUGUGGUUUAGUGGUAAAAUCCAUCGGUUCGUACACCCAAUCCGCAAGCAUCUCAUUCAGCUUAUCUAACAUAAAACAGUUGCCAAAAGAUUACAUCUUCAACUUCGAUGGGCCCCGGGUUCGAUUCCCGGCGAACGCA
rfam:Phialocephala scopiformis strain CBS 120377 unplaced genomic scaffold LY89scaffold_45, whole genome shotgun sequence.